ensembl:snRNA U6 U6 spliceosomal RNA
AUGCUCGCUUCGGCAACAUAUAUACUAAAACUGGAACAAUACAGAGAAGAUUAGCAUGGCCCGUGCACAUGACCCACAAAUUCAUGAAGUGUUCCAUAUUUCU